rnacentral:lncRNA from 1 species
UUCUCAAAUAAUUAGUAAAAAUAUUAUAUUGGGGAAAAAGCCUAGAUCGAUUAUUGAUUAGUUUCUCCCCAUACUUACAAUUAUUUAUGCUCCACAAAUAAUUUAUACUUAGAGUAUUAAAAUAAAACCAUUAACUUCAUUGGAGUAACUACUUCUAAUUUUUUUCUUUUUUUCUUUUUUAGCAGAGAAGGCAGUGUCUUACUGUGUAUCCCUGGCUGGUCUAGAACUCACUAUGUAGAUCGGACUGGCCUCCAACUCACACAGAUCCACAUGUGUCUGCCUUCCAGGUGCUGGAUCAAAUGAAAGUGCCACUUCCUUUAACAUUUUUAAAAACAAGAUUGUCUUUUCCUAUACACCUUUGUUAUUAUUAAGAACAGUGAUAGAAAAAGAGAUCAGCCCUGAACUAUCUAUCUAUCUAUCUAUCUAUCUAUCUAUCUAUCUAUCUAUCUAUCUCUGUAUAGGCCUGGCUGUGGCUGUCCUGGAAAUUGCUCUGUAGACCAGAAUCCCUUUGAACUCAGAGAUCCAGUUGCCUCUGCCUUUCAAGAGCUUGUGUCACCAGUGCUGGCUCAUAACUAAAUCUUAUUGAUCAGUAGAAAUUACCAUUACUAUUGUUUAUUUCCCUUUUAUUAGGAGAAUACAAAUAUUUUUAAUUCCAGCUAAUAAUACUAUAGGAAACCUUACAUAUUUAUUUAAUUAAGAAACAUCUGCCUUUGAAGGUAUAAAAUAUCAUGAAUGUUAUUUUGGGAAACUGAUACCUUUUGUACAUUUUGAUUAAGAAAAACUAAGGAUGUUAGAUUUUUGUAUUACUUGGCUGUUUGCUGUUGUUUUUGCUAUGGUGGAACACUGACUGAACUUUCUGGAGGAAGGAUAUAUUUGCCUUAUGCUUCCAGGUCACAGGCCAUCAAUGAGGGCAGUUUGAAGCACAAACUAUAGAGGAAUCUUGCUCUUGCUCUUGAUUUUGUUUUUCCUAACAUGCUUCAUGACUUUUCUUAUACAACCCUGGGCUCACCUUCCUAAAGUUGGUAGCACCCACAGUGAACCUGUCCCUUUCAAUAUUCAAGGUGAUUGUCUUAUGUUGUUGAGAAAUACCCAAAUGAUUCAGUCACUCAUCUAUGAAAUAAAUGGCUAAUGUCAAACCAUUUACUAAUGUGGGCAAAGCUCAUGGAAAGAACCUAUUGUUUGGUUAAUCCACUAGACUAAUACAUACUACAGUUAGAUAAAUCCCAACCACAAAGCAUUCUUGCUUCUCAGAAUACUUUCCUGAAGUCUCUGAUGUGAUGGGUGGAAGGAAAAUAGGUUUAAUAAAUGGUUGUGGGUUGCCUUUCCAAGUGAAGAUUGGAGGAGGAGGUGAAGGAGGGAACCAGGAAAGUUGGUCACUUUUCAUUUUACAAUCUCCUGUAGUUUUUUUAACUUUGAGAUUAAAUUUGUAUGUUUUAAUUGAAACAUAACUUUUGGUUGAUAAACCUAAAGGAAAGAAAAUCAUUUCUAGGAGUUGAUCUUACAGCAGGUAAAACAGUACAACAAGCCAAUUUUCUUUAGCUGGAGGAACCUAACCAUAGGAGGGACAAACUAGGGCAAAGCAAAUCUCUGACUAGAUACUUUGAAUUCCCAGGCAGGGCUUGUGGGAUUUCCUUUGAUUUGGGGAGAUAGACAAAAUUCUAAAGCCUGAAAAGAUGGUUCCCCUUUCCAGGGCUUCUGUUGGAUGUGUUAUGGUCUUUUUGUUAAAGAUGGUACAGUGGGAGACACAGCCCAUAGUCUCCUCUAGCAGCAUCUGGAGGAGUUCUCUGGCUCCUUUAGGAAGCUCCACUCAGGGAAAAAGCAGAAUUGUUGAUGUCCCCGAAGAAAAGCCAGUCUGAUGGAUAUCUGGAGUUUAUAAGGGAGAGAGUUUAGCAUAGUGUGAAUGGAAGUAACAAAAGGAAGAAGAAGCCACACCCUCCCUCUGUGGAACCCUCUGAUGUGCUGACGAGAAGACCAGGGUCAUUGAUAGUGGAGGGGCUGAGAUAUUGUGGCUUCAGAGCUUUCUCAGAAUCCAUCCUGGCCCUUCGUCCCUUUGUUAGCUUCCUUAUUGCCCAUCUCUGCCUGAUCUAACCCUGAUUACCAGAUAAGGCCUUUGGAAUGUUUUAACAGACCCUUAGCUCUCACUAGCACCAAGGCUCUGAGUGUCCUCUGACAGCAUCCUGGGCCUAGAAGAGCUCUCCCCACUUUGCUCUAACUUGCCUACCUCGUGAUUCUAUGGAUGUGUUUAAGAAUCACAUUAAUUUAUGACCAUUCUUUGGUACUGUCACUUUAAAAAACAUUUUUUUAAUCAAACUAUUAUCAUGUUGUAACACAGAGAUUGAGGUACCCAAAACCUGGGUGUUUCAGGCAGAGCCACUCAUAUUUGCCUCCAGAAUAAACUAUAUCUUUCGAAAAC